AUGUUGGCGAAAUCAUUUGAAGUCAAAGACCUUGGCUUCCUCCACUUCUUCCUGGGAAUAGAAGUAGCUUAUGGAGCUCAAGGUAUCUAUCUUUCUCAAAGGAAAUAUCUGCUUGAUCUUCUCGCUGAAACUAGGAUGCUUGAAAGUAAACCAGCUGCCACACCAAUUGAACCAAACCUUCGUAUUACAGCCAAUUCAGGAGAACCUGUUGAUAGGGGGAGAUACCAGAGACUUGUGGGACGUUUAAUUUAUCUAUCCCAUACUAGACCAGACAUUGCAUAUGCCGUGAGCCUGGUGAGUAGAUAUAUGCAUGAUCCUCGAUCAGGUCAUCUAGAUGCAGUAAAUAGAAUUCUGCGGUAUCUCAAAGGUUGUCCUGGAAAAGGAAUUCUCCUUUCCAACCAUGGGCAUCUAGAAGUUGAGGGAUACACAGACGCUGAUUGGGCUGGGUGCUUGGAUGACAGGAGAUCCACUUCAGGUUAUUGCGUCUUCUUGGGAGGAAAUUUAGUCAGUUGGAGGAGUAAGAAGCAAAGUGUUGUCGCCAGAUCCACGGCAGAAGCAGAGCUGCGAUCCAUGGCUUCAGGGCUAUGUGAGUUGUUAUGGCUUCGAUUAUUAUUAACUGAACUUCGGUUGUUUAAAGGAGGACCACUCAGGCUCCAUUGUGAUAAUCAAGCCGCAAUCAACAUUGUCAACAAUCCGGUUCAGCAUGAUAGAACAAAACAUAUCGAAAUUGAUAGACAUUUUAUUAAGGAGAAACUUGAUGAGUGA
rnacentral:rRNA from 1 species